GAUGAACGCUGGCUACAGGCUUAACACAUGCAAGUCGAGGGGAAACGGCAUUGGGUGCUUGCACCGAAUGGACGUCGACCGGCGCACGGGUGAGUAACGCGUAUCCAACCUUCCCGUUACUGCGGGAUAACCUGCCGAAAGGCAGACUAAUACCGCAUGUUCUUCGAUGACGGCAUCAGAUUCGAAGCAAAGAUCCGUCGGUAACGGAGGGGGAUGCGUCUGAUUAGCUUGUUGGCGGGGCGACGGCCCACCAAGGCGACGAUCAGUAGGGGUUCUGAGAGGAAGGUCCCCCACAUUGGAACUGAGACACGGUCCAAACUCCUACGGGAGGCAGCAGUGAGGAAUAUUGGUCAAUGGGCGGAAGCCUGAACCAGCCAAGUAGCGUGCAGGAUGACGGCCCUACGGGUUGUAAACUGCUUUUAUGCGGGGAUAAAGUGAGGGACGCGUCCCUUUUUGCAGGUACC
rnacentral:rRNA from 1 species